rnacentral:tRNA from 1 species
AUCUAUAUAAUAUAAAAAGUAUAUUUGACUUCCAAUCAUAAAGUCUAUAAAAAUAGUAUAGAUA